GCAGGACGUUUGCAUUAAGAUUUACAGCUUAGAGCCUGAAGAGAAUUGAACAACGGAACUGUAUUUUCCUUGGGUAUAACAUAUAAAAGCCAAAACAAAUUAAUAUGGCUCCCAAGAUCCAGCCUAGGAGAUCAGACGGGAAUGUUACAGGAGAAGAAGUUAAAGGAUGCCUUGGGACAAGAAGAACCGAAAGAAAAAUUAAAGGUACGCUUUAAAAGCAAUGAAGCGUGAGAAGGCAAAAGUCCAUGUCUGAUCUUGUCAUGAACUUCACAGCGAACCCCGAGUAAACAUAAGCCGACACCUGAGUAACCGCUUUUAUAGCCAGUGGAUAAAAAGGUGUGUGACAGCAACUUCAGCAAGCAUCAAUAAUAUACUUCAGGAAAUAGUCAAGAGAUUUCUGCAGAGGAUGUCACUCAUAAAGAUGUCUUCAUCUAACAUUAUUUAUGGUCAUCUGCAGAAUAAAAUGGUGUCACUACC